GAUGAAGAAAGUAGUGAAAUGCGAUAAGUAAUGUGAAUUGCAGAAUUCAGUGAAUCAUCGAAUCUUUGAACGCACAUUGCGCCCCUUGGUAUUCCGGGGGGCAUGCCUGUUCGAGCGUCAUUUCAACCCCUCAAGCUCGGCUUGGUGUUGGGCUGCGCCAGCGUUGCUGGCGGGCCUUAAAAUCAGUGGCGGUGCCGUUUGGGCUCCAAGCGUAGUAGCAUCUCUCGCUCUGGAGACCCGGCGGUUGCUUGCCAGACAAUCACCAAAAAAACAAAGGUUUGACCUCGGAUCAGGUAGGGAUACCCGCUGAACUUAAGCAUAUCAAUAAGCGGAGGA
rnacentral:misc_RNA from 1 species